CAACGCGAAGAACCUUACCAACUCUUGACAUCCCAUUGACCGCUUGAGAGAUCAAGUUUUCCCUUCGGGGACAAUGGUGACAGGUGGUGCAUGGUUGUCGUCAGCUCGUGUCGUGAGAUGUUGGGUUAAGUCCCGCAACGAGCGCAACCCCUAUCCUUAGUUGCCAGCAUUCAGUUGGGCACUCUAGGGAGACUGCCGGUGACAAACCGGAGGAAGGUGGGGAUGACGUCAAAUCAUCAUGCCCCUUAUGAGUUGGGCUACACACGUGCUACAAUGGACGGUACAAAGGGCAGCGAGACCGCGAGGUGGAGCCAAUCCCAUAAAGCCGUUCCCAGUUCGGAUUGCAGGCUGCAACUCGCCUGCAUGAAGUCGGAAUCGCUAGUAAUCGCAGGUCAGCAUACUGCGGUGAAUACGUUCCCGGGUCUUGUACACACCGCCCGUCACAC
rnacentral:rRNA from 1 species